AUUAAGAUUUUCAAAAUCUCCUUCCUUUAUGUACUUUCCAAUGGAUUAUCACAAUUCCAUCUAGGUAUGAAAUUAUGAAGUAUAUGCAAUAUGCUUAAUCUUUUUUAUGUUACAUUGAGGUCAUGUUGUUAAUAUGAGAAAUAUUCUUUUAGAACAAUAAAUAUAUUCUCAAUCACAUUUCGAAGCUUUGAACAUAUUAGAUUAAAGAGUUCAUGAGUUAAUUAUUUUUUAUAACACUUUUUUUUAUAAAUAAAUAUAUUAUUUUUUACGAACAUAAAUAAGUUAUGUAAUACCCAAUUUUGCCCAGGCCCAUUAAAACCCAAUUUGAAAUAAAACUAAGUGGGAGUCCAUAUUACAACCCAAAUUCGGCCUAAUAAUGCCCAAAUUGCUAGCCCUAGCCUGUUAGCCCAAAAGAACAUAGGGUAUAGUAGAAACCCUAAGCAGAUUGAAGCAAAUCGGUGCCGCAGCAACUGCCCACGACAUGGCAACGGUUUCCACCCACGUUCAGCAAUUCCCCACACCCACCAUGCACGUUCUUCACCUGCAACAAACCAUAAACAGCAUUAUAGGAUCGAAUAUACAGCAAAAAAAAGGGGGAAAAUUUAGUGGAUGCUUUCCGGUAAAGAUUGGCUAUAAAGUCAAUCGAUUUUUGUAAGAGGGGGUUACACACAUAUAUUGAAAAAGACUGAAAUACGAAAAAAAGAAUCAGAAAAAAACAAAUUUUUGAAGGUGAUUUUUGUUCUUUCCAAGUCUUUUUACUUUUUCUGUUUUUUUGGUCUCAUCUUUUUCUUUUGUAUUUUACUUCAUUUUUUUUAAAAUAAAACGAAAAGUAAAAGAAAGGGAGGAGAUUCUUACCAGCAGAGGCGCGCCGUCGGCAUAGUUUUCUUCGCUUUGUCCAAAUCGAAGUUAAAAGGGGAGGGGGUUUUGGCGUGAAGAGUUGGGAAGAAGAUGAAAUAGUUUUUAAAGCUAUUGCUGCUGCAGAAUAGCGUUUAAAUUUGAGAUUGAAAAGGGUUUUAAGUACUGAUGGGUUAUUUACGCUUUUAAUCCUUCCAUUUUAUCCCACCAUUUCAAAAUUAU
rnacentral:lncRNA from 1 species